rnacentral:lncRNA from 1 species
UGUUUAACUUUCCCGCAACUGUACACACCAUUGCUGAGGUCAAAAAGCCGGCUUUCGACGCAUGCACCACCACCGCAACCCUCUCUCAAUGGACCACGCCGCCGGCCAGGGUUACUCUCAAGUCUCCCGGCGAGCACUACUACCUCUGUACCAUAAUAGGUCACUGUACCUUGGGUCAGAAGUUGGCCAUCAAUGUCACGGCCGCCGCAUCUACUCCUCCUCCGGCACCUACACCUUCACCCUCCGCCACUCCUCCACCGGCAGCCGCAUCUACUCCUCCGCCGGCACCUACACCUUCACCCCCGGCCACUCCUCCACCGUCAGCCGCCCCUUCGCCCGUCGCCAGUCCUACACCGGCAGCAUCUGGUCCCUCCUCAUCUCCUUCUGCCACACCUCCGGCACCUUCCUCCGGCGCCACUCCUCCCGCCCCAGGCUCAAACACCACUCCAUCAUCACCAUCUCCGGCCAGCGUCACCGCUCCUCCUCCACCUAACUCGGCAGCAUCUUUUGCGGCCGCGGCCUUACCGGUUACAUUUUUAUCGGUUGUCAUAGCUUUGUUUUAUUGAUUAGAUAGAUAGAUGUCACAAUUUUUGUUUGUGAUACAUUUGGGUGUGAUUUUUGAUAUUAGUAUUCUACAGAUUGUUGUGUAAUU